AUUGAACGCUGGCGGAAUGCUUUACACAUGCAAGUCGAGCGGCAGCGCGGGGGCAACCCUGGCGGCGAGCGGCGAACGGGUGAGUAACAUAUCGGAACGUACCCAGUCGUGGGGGAUAACUAUCCGAAAGGAUAGCUAAUACCGCAUACGUCCUGAGGGAGAAAGCGGGGGAUCGCAAGACCUCGCGCGAUUGGAGCGGCCGAUAUCGGAUUAGCUAGUUGGUGGGGUAAAGGCUCACCAAGGCGACGAUCCGUAGCGGGGUCUGAGAGGACGACCCGCCACACUGGAACUGAGACACGGUCCAGACUCCUACGGGAGGCAGCAGUGGGGAAUUUUGGACAAUGGGGGCAACCCUGAUCCAGCCAUUCCGCGUGAGUGAAGAAGGCC
rnacentral:rRNA from 1 species